rnacentral:lncRNA from 1 species
AUAACUCUGGUGAUGAGAUUUCUUCAUUUUCCAAAUUCAAUGGGUAAAUGGUGACCUUAAAAUAUUGGACAAGUUGCUUUACAUUUCAGCUAAGAAUGUGUAAUGAUACAGAACUCAUAGUCUUCCAAAUAUGAUAAAUAUUGAACUAGUGGAAUAUAUCAGCUCGAGGAAAGACCCAAACAGUCUCAUUUUUAUAAGAAUGGAUAACCAUUUUACUAGAAAAAUUACCCCG